AUCCUCUAUUAGAAUUUUUUGAAUUUUGAACAUCAAGUUUAAGAACAUUUUUAAGCAGAUCCCUCAUAUCAUCUUCUUUUUUAGGAUUCCUUAUAGAUAGUUGGAUCCAAAAUCAGAUGUAUGAUCUAUGAAGGAGGGUAGAUUACAUGGAGAUGAUAAUAUGGACUCUCCAUGAAAUAACCACCGACUAACCCUUUAGAAAACUAUUCCACACUAAUGUUCUUCAACAGUUCUGGAGUGAGAGAAAUAAAUUUUAUAUUUUCAAUAUAGACAAAAUAUUCCCAUUCAUUGAUGCUUUCUCAAUGGCUAGUUUAAUAAAAUUUUGAACUCUAUCCAACUAUUCUUUACUAGACCUCAAUUUAUUUAUCAAACUUUUAUCUAUUCUAUAAGAAUAACAACUAAAAGUACAAUUUACCUAAAAAAGUAAAAGAAAUAAAACAUUUAAUAUCCCUUACAAUGAGAUUUUAAUC
rnacentral:lncRNA from 1 species